AUGGCUGUCGUCAGCUCGUGUUGUGAAAUGUUGGGUUAAGUCCCGCAACGAGCGCAACCCUUAUCCUUGUUUGCCAGCGAGUAAUGUCGGGAACUCCAGGGAGACUGCCGGUGAUAAACCGGAGGAAGGUGGGGACGACGUCAAGUCAUCAUGGCCCUUACGAGUAGGGCUACACACGUGCUACAAUGGCGCAUACAGAGGGCGGCCAACUUGCGAGAGUGAGCGAAUCCCAAAAAGUGCGUCGUAGUCCGGAUCGGAGUCUGCAACUCGACUCCGUGAAGUCGGAAUCGCUAGUAAUCGUGGAUCAGAAUGCCACGGUGAAUACGUUCCCGGGCCUUGUACACACCGCCCGUGGGGCGGGGGCGGCGGGCCGGGCGCGGGGCGCGGCGGGCG
rnacentral:rRNA from 1 species